rnacentral:rRNA from 1 species
AAGUCGUAACAAGGUUUCCGUAGGUGAACCUGCGGAAGGAUCAUUAAUGAGUUAGGGUCCUCCGGGCCCGACCUCCAACCCUUUGUUUAGCUACCAUGUUGCUUUGGCGGGCCCGUCUUUAACCGGACCGUCGGGGGUUUUUCAACCUCUGGCCAGUGCCCGUCAGUAGCCCACCACAAAUACUUUUUUAACCAUGUUAUAUCUGAAAAAUAGUUAAAUAAACUAAAACUUUCAACAACGGAUCUCUUGGUUCUGGCAUCGAUGAAGAACGCAGCGAAAUGCGAUAAGUAAUGCGAAUUGCAGAAUUCAGUGAGUCAUCGAAUCUUUGAACGCACAUUGCGCCCUUUAGUAUUCUGAAGGGCAUGCCUGUUCGAGCGUCAUUAUCACUAAUCAAGCCUGGCUUGCUGUUGGACCUCUUGUCGUUAAAAACCGACAGGCCCUAAAGAUAAUGACGGCGUUACUUGGACCCUAGAUGCAACGAGCUUUCAUUAGCACGCGUUUAGUCGGACCUUUUAACCCGGUCUUUCUUAAACCAAUUUUCUAAGGUUGACCUCGGAUCAGGCAGGAAUACCCGCUGAACUUAAGCAUAUCAAUAAGCGGAGGAAAAGAAACCAACAGGGAUUACCUCAGUAACGGCGAGUGAAGCGGUAAUAGCUCAAAUUUGAAAUCUGGCUCUUUCAGGGUCCGAGUUGUAAUUUGUAGAGGAUGUUUCGGGCACGGCUACGGUUUAAAUUUCUUGGAACAGAAUGUCAUAGAGGGUGAGAGUCCCGUCUUGAACCGAUUGCUUCGUCCAUGUGAAACUCCUUCGACGAGUCGAGUUGUUUGGGAAUGCAGCUCAAAAUGGGUGGUAAAUUUCAUCUAAAGCUAAAUAUUGGCCAGAGACCGAUAGCGCACAAGUAGAGUGAUCGAAAGAUGAAAAGCACUUUGAAAAGAGAGUUAAACAGUAUGUGAAAUUGUUGAAAGGGAAGCGCUUGUAAUCAGACUUGAGCUUAACAGUUCCCCCUUCGUUCUCGUUGGGUUAUUCUGUUUUGUCCAGGCCAACAUCAGUUCGGGUGGUUGGUUAAAGACUUUGGGAAUGUAUCUACCCUCCGGGGUCGACUUAUAGCCUAGAGUGUCAUGCAGCCUACCUGGACUGAGGAACGCGCUUCGGCUCGGAUGUUGGCGUAAUGGUUAUAAGCGACC